rnacentral:rRNA from 1 species
GUAGGAGGCAAGCGUUAUCCGGAUUUACUGGGCGUAAAGCGUGUGUAGGCGGUUUGGUCAGUCGGACGUGAAAGCUCCUGGCUCAACUAGGAGAGGCCGUUCGAAACUUCCAAACUUGAGGGCAGUAGAGGGAGGUGGAAUUCCGGGUGUAGCGGUGAAAUGCGUAGAUAUCCGGAGGAACACCAGUGGCGAAGGCGGCCUCCUGGACUGUCCCUGACGCUCAGACACGAAAGCUAGGGGAGCAAACGGGAUUAGACACCCCGGGUAGUCCUAGCUGUAAACGAUGCAGACUUGGUGUUGGGAGUGUAAAAACUUUCAGUGCCGGAGCUAACGCGUUAAGUCUGCCGCCUGGGGACUACGACCGCAAGGUUA